rnacentral:misc_RNA from 1 species
GAUGAAGAACGCAGCGAAAUGCGAUAAGUAAUGUGAAUUGCAGAAUUCAGUGAAUCAUCGAAUCUUUGAACGCACAUUGCGCCCGCCAGCAUUCUGGCGGGCAUGCCUGUUCGAGCGUCAUUUCAACCCUCGAGCCCCCCCGGGGGCCUCGGUGUUGGGGGACGGCACACCAGCCGCCCCCGAAAUGCAGUGGCGACCCCGCCGCAGCCUCCCCUGCGUAGUAGCACACACCUCGCACCGGAGCGCGGAGGCGGUCACGCCGUAAAACGCCCAACUUUUUUAGAGUUGACCUCGGAUCAGGUAGGAAUACCCGCUGAACUUAAGCAUAUCAAUAAGCGGAGGA